ACAAGUACCGUGAGGGAAAGUUGCAAAGCACUUUGAAGAGAGAGUUAAAGAGGACGUGAAACCGGUGGGAUGGAAACGGAUAGAGCUGGCGUAUCUGGCCUGUAUUCAGCCACAGUGCUGUAGGCGUUCGGUUGGUGGCACUCCAGAUUGGGACGCCAACUGAACGAGUGUCCAAAGGUGCUGUGGUGCAUUUACAGGUGGAGUGCGUUGAAGCAUUCGGAACGGCAAUGUGAACUUGAUUCUUGAGGCCAGCAUGCUGGUACCCGGAAUUGAGGGAAUUUUGUUCGGUCUGGAUGUUUUGUGUGCAUGGUUUCGAGCUCGGAUGGGUGCCGAGCUGGUGGUCAGCGGCGGUCGCGAGCGACACGUGCUGUUCAACUAGUUCGGUCCUGCUCGAGCUCUCAUGACCAUUUUCAACGUAAAAGCCGGUCAUCUAUCCGACCCGUCUUGAAACACGGACCAAGGAGUUUAUCGUGUGCGCGAGUCAUUGGGUGUUUGAAACCUAAAGGCGAAAUGAAAGUGAACGUAUCCGAGAGGAACUGACGUGCGAUCGUGGGCACUCCGGUGCCUAUGAGCAGCAUGGCCCCAUCCUGACUGCAUGCAGUGGGGUGGCGGAAGAGCGUACGCGGUGAGACCCGAAAGAUGGUGAACUAUUCCUGAGCAGGAUGAAGCCAGAGGAAACUCUGGUGGAAGUCCGAAGCGAUUCUGACGUGCAAAUCGAUCGUCUGACUUGGGUAUAGGGGCGAAAGGCUAAUCGAACCAUCUAGUAGCUGGUUCCUUCCGA
rnacentral:rRNA from 1 species